rnacentral:rRNA from 1 species
UCGCGUAGGGACACUGACGGGCCCCAGUAAAUGGAACGCAAUAACGGUUCCCCACCAACUGCUGAAGUUCGAAUACUGAAAGAUCCCCCGAAUAAUGGCGUGGGGCAUUGCGUUACUGAAGGAUGGAGAAAUAGGGAGUGCAGUACUAAGACACGGUGGCGUCGAGACGAACUCGCGCCCUAGUCAACAGUGAUGAACGGAUGAAUAGAUCUACGGUGCCUCGCAAGUGAAGAGGGAGACGGAGGUUAGCAUCUCUAUGGACGUCCCGUCUGCUAGAGCGGGCAGAUCGUACGAGCCAGUAAGCGGCAGGAUCAUAAGAGCCGCCAAGAAGAACACCUAUAGAAGAGAAGAGCUGGUUCAUGGAGGAAAUCCCUUUUCGCCCUUUCCCUUUCAAGAAGCGAUUUGUUUGAGAAUGCAAUUACGUCCCUUGGCCUUUGUACACACCGCCCGUCGCUACUACCGAUUGAAUGGCUCAGUGAGGCGUCCGGACUGGCCCAGAGAGGUGGGCAACUACCACUCAGGGCCGGAAAGCUCUCCAAACUCGGUCAUUUAGAGGAAGUAAAGUCGUAACAAGGUCUCCGUUGGUGAACCAGCGGAGGGAUCAUUACCGAGUUUACAACUCCCAAACCCCUGUGAACAUACCACUUGUUGCCUCGGCGGAUCAGCCCGCUCCCGGUAAAACGGGACGGCCCGCCAGAGGACCCCUAAACUCUGUUUCUAUAUGUAACUUCUGAGUAAAACCAUAAAUAAAUCAAAACUUUCAACAACGGAUCUCUUGGUUCUGGCAUCGAUGAAGAACGCAGCAAAAUGCGAUAAGUAAUGUGAAUUGCAGAAUUCAGUGAAUCAUCGAAUCCUUGAACGCACAUUGCGCCCGCCAGUAUUCUGGCGGGCAUGCCUGUUCGAGCGUCAUUUCAACCCUCAAGCACAGCUUGGUGUUGGGACUCGCGUUAAUUCGCGUUCCCCAAAUUGAUUGGCGGUCACGUCGAGCUUCCAUAGCGUAGUAGUAAAACCCUCGUUACUGGUAAUCGUCGCGGCCACGCCGUUAAACCCCAACUUCUGACAUGUGACCUCGGAUCAGGUUAGAAUCCCCGGUUAAU